rnacentral:misc_RNA from 1 species
CAUAAUUCUGAAACCCCUGAAGAACGGGAUACCACCCUAGCAGUAGAGAAGCACACACACAUCUUGGAAGAUGUUGAUGGUGAGCUUGAAAUGGAGGAUGUGGCUCCCUCUUGUGAAGUUUAGAAGUUCAGCAGUUGGCAUUGCUGCAGUCAAUUCUGUAUGUAAUUUGCAAAAUCAAUUAGAACUGCAUUUUCCACAGCCUUUUGCCCCUCCUCUGCCUCAGGAUGUGCCACCAUCAUCACCACCAUUGCCAACUUCACCUCCUCCACCUCCACCUCCACCACCUCCUCUUGCUGUCCCACAUUCAUGUGGAAUGCCUGAUCCAUACAUUAGUGGUGUAGAUUCAAAGCUUUAUGCAAAUUCACAUAAUAUGCAAGA